rnacentral:rRNA from 1 species
UACGGGGGGAGCAAGCGUUGUUCGGAUUUACUGGGCGUAAAGGGCGCGUAGGCGGCCACCGCAAGUCAAUUGUGAAAUCUCCGGGCUUAACUCGGAAAGGUCAACUGAUACUGCGGGGCUAGAGUGCGGAAGGGGCAACUGGAAUUCUCGGUGUAGCGGUGAAAUGCGUAGAUAUCGGGAGGAACACCAGUGGCGAAGGCGACUACCUGGCCUGUUCUUGACGCUGAGGCGCGAAAGCUAGGGGAGCAAACGGG